rfam:Oryza glumipatula chromosome 1, whole genome shotgun sequence.
AAAAAAUAAAGCAAACUUCGUGUCCAAUUUUGACUGUCCAUCUUAUACGAAUUUUUUUUAUAAUUUGUAUUUUCAUUGUUGUUAGAUGAUAAAACAUGAUUAAUAUUUUAUGCGUGACUUGUCUUUUUACUUUUUUUAUAAUUUUUUUAAAUAAGACGGACGGUCAAACGUUGGGCACGAAUAUCAGGGUUUGUCUCUUU